CUCACACACGGACUCACUCACACACACACACACUCUCUCUGUAUAAAGAAGCUCGCUGAUCCAGAAGCAGAGGAGAGUCUUCGUCUUUUUUCUUCUUUGGUUGUGUGAGAAACAGAGAGAGAGAGAAACAGAGAGAAACAGAGAGAGAGAGAGAGGCUCCUGCUUCUGGUGGCGACGGAUCAGGUCCGAGUGGAGGGAGAGGAGGAGGAAGAGGAGGAGGAGGGAGGGGAGCCGAUCACACUGCUGGAGGAGGAGGAGGAGGAAAGAUUUCUUUGUAUCACAAUGAGGAUCACACUGGUUCAGCCUGUAACCGUGUUGACUUCCCAGACGACGUGCCUUAGUUUGCAUGUAAACAUAAGGACCAUGUUGGCAUACAAACAUUUCAUUAUAAUUUGGUGACGUUACAGCAUAAAAAGGGGUUGUAUAUUUCAAGCCUGACGAUUUUGGUCUGAAAGGAAACAAAUGAACAAAGCAGAAAAAACAAGAUUCGAGAAUACAUGUCAAAACAGAAGACUUUAAAACAGAGAAAUGACAUCGUAUAUGACAAUGUUCGGCUUUUGUAUGAAGAGGAAAAAGAGACGUUUAUGAUUUUGUGUGUGUUUUUGUGUGUCAGUCCAGCUCCUGUAUCAGUGUGGAGGCCUGAGAAACACACCCGCUCCGACCAUGUGUCAUUGUUUGAUUUCCUGCCAAAUGUUUGCACAACCCUACAUUUUUUUCGAAGAAAAUAAAAGAAACAAUUUUGAAAACAUGUCAAGAGAC